UACUACGUCCAGCCAAACAACGGCAUUGUGGCACCGCGAUCCACAUUCGUUGUUCUCGAUAAGUUGACGGACUGCAUUAGCCAAUCAGUAUGUGUGUUUUCCUCGAUUUACUUUCAGUUUGUCCUCGUCAUAUUGUGAUUGUUCCAGUACUUCAUGAUGAUGAGGUAUGAGACCAUGAUAUACUAGCAUUUUAUUUAAAUCCCAUGGGAGCAGGUCAAUGAACCAUUGAUGUACCAACAUUUAAGCAGGCAAGUUUUACUCAUUUUCAUUUUAGCACAUAGUUUUGAGCAAAUUUUUCUGACUGCGCAACUUGAGAGAGUCCAUGCCAAUGUAAGCCUUGCAAUUCGCUGAACUAUUUCUGAAAUAUGCAGCUAGAGUGCUUGCCUUGGUUACAGUGUCUUGCCUUCGAAUGAGAGCUACAAUAUUUGCCUUGUAGCUGCACGAGUGUCAAUUUUUGUUACCACUGAUCCUUCCAAAUUCCGAAACUGAAGCUUAGACUCUUUGAAUUGUUGUUUUCAUUAACAAUGCAAGCGUACUGGAUAUGCAAUGCAGGGCCGUGUUCCUUGUUCAGAGUGCCGUGGUAAGCCAGGGCAUAUUACCGAAGGACAUCAGCGGAGACAUGUUCACCAAAGAAUCGGGCAACAUGGUGAACGAGGUGAAGCUGAAGGUUGUUUACGCUCCACCGUUGCAACCGACAUCCAUAAAUAAGGGCUCUGAUUAGGAAAGUCUGGGCAGUUGGAGUUAUCAAGAGACAAGAGAACUUGCAGAACCAGAAACAAUACCUUCUGAGGUGAACUCCCUUCCAACAAAAAAAUCAACAAGACCUUGGCUUUAAUUGCGACUUUGAUGAAGGAGGAGAACAAUUUUGUGUUCAAGAGAACAAUAAGCUUCCAGAGGAACUGGUUCGUGGGUUAUACCUGAGUAUGCGAACAUUUUUUUACUUGUGUUAUUAAUUGACCCUACCUGUAAGCAUUAGAUUCAAUAAGACCAGAGUUUCUUGCUUCUAUUAAAGAAGGCCAACAUGUCCUUCCCCUUCUGUCUCGUUACUUUUGUAAGAAUUAGGUUCAAGAUUUUGUUUGUGCCUUUGGCUUGUGAGAAAGCAUUGCUAAUCAUUUGUGCUGAUAA